UAUCAAUUAAAUUACCUAUUGUAAAAUUUAACCAAUAUGAAUAGGUUUUAAUGUAAUUUUUCAUAUGCAUGCGUUUUUUAGUUUCCUAUUACGUGUUUACUUUAGUAUCUAUCCACUUUAUAAUAGUAUUAUUUUCAUAAAGUUUUAUAUAUUUAAAUAACAUUAUAAUUGGUGGUUAAAAGUACUUCAAUUGGAGAUUACUUUCACAAAGUUAUUGUUCAAGUCUAGUCAUGAAGUCAAUCAUUGAACUGUUGAGUGCCGCCAAUUUUCAAACACUUUCAUGUGUUAUGUUAACAAAUUGGAUGCCAAAGUAAAGUUGUUAAUAUUAUUUUAAUCUCUUAUAUAUACAAGUGAGUCUUAAAAAAAUGACAAAAUCCAAUAACUUUUAAUACAUUUAAUUUUUAAAAAAAAAUUAUUUUUAAACUAUGUUAAAUACAUAUUUUUUAUAAUUUGUUUUUAAUAGUAAAAUAAAUAUAUAAAAAUUUAUUUUUUCAAAAUUUUAAAAUAGUUAUUUCUUAAAUCUUUUUUACAAAAUAUUUUUAUAAAUAAAUAACAAUUUUAAGACGAAAAAGUACUUAUUAAGUUACUAGCAUCUUAAUACACAUAAUGGAUAUAACAUGUUAAUGAAUGCAACCCAUACCGCUGUAUAUUUAUAACUCAUUCUUCAUUCUCAAUUCUUAUUCACUAUAUGCAAUACUUGUAACUUGAAAAAUAUUUGUCCUACAAUUACUAUCGGCACAUCAAAUUUUUUUUGUAAAAAAAUGGCUAAACUAUUAAUGUUUCAAAAUUUUAAAAAACAAAAAUAUAUACUAUGAACAUAGUCUAAAAAUGUAUAAAUUAUUUAAAAAAAAUUGUAAUGACAUGUUAAUUAAAUGUAAUUAUAACUAGAUCUUAAGUUAUGGGAUUUGUCAUAUCUUUGCAACUCUUUUGUAUAUACAGAGUGGAACAAAUGAUAACUCUUAUAACUUUUGACAGAAAAUUUAUUUCUCUGUAAAUUUUCUUUUUUUAACAAUUUUUUAUCUUAAACUAUGUAUUUUUAAAUACACAACAAAAAAAAAUUAAAUUUUUUCAUAAUUUAUUUUUAAUAAUCAAAUAAAUUAAAAGAAGUUAUUAAUUAAAAACGGCUAUUUUUAAACCUUUUAUUACAAAAAAUGUGAAUAGAUCAAUAAAAAUUUUGGGACAAGUAGAGUUACAAUCAUUUUUAACUUAGAGUGGGUAUAUAGCAUAUGUGGAUACAGCACUAGUAAAUAGAGUGUUCAGUAAUUAAGGAAAUGGGUUUCUAUUGUUCUCUUUGUUUGUAACAAUUGACUUGUUUCCUUACUUACUAAAUAUUGUAUAUUUAUAAAGCAUACUCCAUCUACACUAAAUACCCACUCUAUUGUAGUAAUAGAUCUGUAACUCAUUAAGUAUUUGUCUUUAAAUUUUUAUUGAUUCAUUAAUCAUGUAAGAAAAGUGCUAAAUUAGCUAUUUUAAAUUAAAAAAAAAACUUUUUUUAAUAUUGAAAUAAAAUAAUAUUAAAUAUAAUUUCAAUGUAGUCUAAGAAUGCAUAAAUUAAAAAAAAAGUAAUACCAAUAUGUUAAUUGUAUCAAAAAUUAUUAGAGUUGUCAGUUAUAUUUUUAUCUCACUCAGUAUAUAUAUUUAAAAAGAAAAGUUUCAUUUUAAACCAAAGACUUAAUGUGGAUUACCAAAGAAUAAUAUUCUAGUCAUGCCAGAAGAAUCACUUAAUAAGAAAAUUAUAUAACACUAAUUUAUCUUAAUUUACCUUAAUUCUUAUCUAAAAACCUACAUGACAGUGUCAUAAAAUAAAUCUUUUUAAAGUAAUUUCAUAUUCAUCAAAUAGAUGUUAUAAUUAUUUAUUCAAUUUCAUUUUACUUAUAAUCUACAAUACUCAAAUUCUGUAAUAUAUUUAUUCUUAUUUAAAACAACAUCGACUAUUUCAAUUGAAAAUUAAGUUUUUUAAUUGUGUUGACUAGAUGUAAAUUUUAAUUUUAUGUAUAAAUAGUUUGUUAAUUAGGUCUUAGCUAGAUUAUGUAUUCUGUUGUGUUCAUUGUUUUGUUUAUUUUUUAACCAACCAUGAUUUAUAUUAUAUUAAGUUAUUUAUAUCAUUCAUAUUGUAUAUGAUGUGUGAAAUUAGUGAAUUGAAAUUUUUUAAUAAAUUAUCUUUAAUUGUUAAA